UGGAAUGAUGCGUGCAAGAGAAGCUUCCAAGAGUUGAAGCAGAGAUUGACGACCGCCCCGAUCUUGACCCUACCAGUAGCUGGAGCAGGGUAUGUGGUUUAUAGUGAUGCUUCACUUAAUGGAUUGGGCUGUGUAUUUGUAACAUACCACGUCCCUCGUAAAUCGUGCCGAGUUCCGUCGAAAUGAGCGGAACCCGGAGUGGAGCGAGUUAGCAUGGACCCUAGGAGCAUUAGAGUCCAUAAAUGGAGCUAAAGGGACCCGAGAGAGCAAAUCUGAAAAUCUGGCUAAGUCCCAGAUUUCGAGCUCUCGGGGACCGGUCCCUGAAGGAGAGACCGGUCCCCGUACGCGUAGCCUGCCAGGAAGUCCUGAGGCAACCGGUCCCUGGUGGUGAGACCGGUCCUCGGGAGACCGGUCCUGGAGAGGCAGACCGGUCCCUCACUGCGCAGCAGCUGAAAAACCCGAAAAUUUGGCUAAGUCCUGAAAACCCCACGUUCGGGAACCGGUCCCUGGUCGGGGAGACCGGUCCCCGAAAGCGAAAAAUGCCCAGUCUGGGCAGAUCAUGGGAAAUAAGUGGAGGGGCUUAAGUGCAAUUGUUAUAACACUUUAUAUGGGCCAUCCCCUCUCUCCCACAGCCAUUUCCCUCCUCCUCUCUCAUU
rnacentral:lncRNA from 1 species